ensembl:lncRNA
CCCUUGUUCCCCCGCUCCCCGCCCCAUCCUCUUCCCACAGGCCUCUGGAAGCAAGCAGCCCAAAGGCCUAGCUGGGCCUUCCUUCCUGGCCUUGGCCACCUGGUAGUGUGCAGCAGGGUGGGCUGCUUCCUUACCCUGCUUCCCUGAGGCGGGCUGGCAGCAGGCUGAUGGAGGGGCUGUAGGCAGCGGGAGAAGGGGCCCAGCCGCCGACCCACUCACUCAGGACCUCAUUCACUCGGCCCUGCUUUGGCCCCCUCAUAGGCCUCAGGGUUUGGUCCUUGGAGGCCCUCCAGGCCCAACCCAGUGAUUCUGCCUGGAUAAUCAUGUGUCUCUCCUGCCUCACUGCAGCUGCUUCUCAAUCAUGAAUGUUUCCAUGGCCCCAGGGCCCCUUGCUGCUGUGUGCUGCCUGCCCUAGGAGCAGGAUGUGGGUGAGGGGGGAGCCCUUCUGGGCCCUUCCCUUCAGCAGCCCCCGCUGGGGCUGCAUGGGCCCCUCCUCCUUACCCUUCUCCUCGUAGAGGCCUGGAGCCUGCAGGGCUGGACUGAGGCUCAAGGUCCCCCCUGGCUGUCUCGCCCCCACUGUGUCCCACUCUGGGGCCAGGGGAGGCAGUGAGGGAGGAGUUGUGUCCCGUCUUCCUGUCUCCAUGUGGUUUCAGGUGUUUUUCUUGUUGUGUCCUGGACUCCCGAUAAAAUUAAAAGAAAUUGCUCCCUCAACUGUCAGGCCUGCCUGAUUCUAUUCAUGGGGUGCAAAGUGACUAUCUGUGAGAAUCUGCCUCAGUAAAAGAAACUUUUAUUUUAAAUACUUUGGAAAGUUCCCUCUUAGCAGUGUCAUUCAGUGCCUGGGAGGAAGGUGUGGUCCCAGAGCCCUGCUGCUUGCCCACUCUUUGAGUGGUCCUGAUGCCUUCCUGGACCCUGCAGAGAUAUGUGGAAGACACCUUGGUUUCUGAGGCCAGUGGAGCCCUCGGCCACCUGCCUGGUGGGCUGGGUGGGCCCGGGCUGGGGUUUGAGGUAGGGUGGCAGUGGCUUGGCCCCAGAGUGCAGGAGUCUGGGGUCCUGCCAGGGUCUGGAGAGCAGACAGUUGCUUCCUCCUUUCCUUUGUGGUCCGAGGCAGGGGGUGGCGGUCCUCAAGCCUGUGCGCUGAAACCUGAUGGAUUCUGCUUCUGCCAAGCGCCAUAAGUCUUCACCUGUGACAGAGUGGGGGUGGUUGGGACCUGGCCUGAGGCAGCACCCCCUCUGGUCAGGCUGGCACUCACACAUCCUGUCCAGCCCCAAGGCUGCUGUCCAGCCCAGCUCUUGAUGGAAAGCCAGGCUGGGGUUGGCGUAACAGGCAGCCACAUCGCCUUCCCGCCGUGCCACCACCUUGCAUGGGAUCUGCAAGACAGGAUGUGGCUAAAGCCUAGCUGAGCUGGCCCCUAGCCUCACCCACCCAGCUGCUGGCAAGAUCCUCCAGGAAACACCAGGGCAGAGUGGUGUCACCUGUAGGCACUCAGGGCUGAGUUACAAGGCAGGGCAGAGGUGCUGGGACACCCACUGGCUAGGUGAGCAGGAAAGCCUACCUUCCUCCCUGAGGCCUUCUCCCAUGGCUUGGACCAUCUGCAACACCGAGUAGCCUUUGCCUGUGCCCAGGUUGUAGACC